AAGACUAUAUUUUCAGGAAACAUUUCUACAGUUCUUUACUUGGAAAUGUGUUUCGAAAGUGUUUGUCUUCCACCCAUGAUAAUGAGCUGUAAUGCUCUUUUCUGAGAAUGAAUUAAAAACUGAGCUGUGAUUUUGGUAGCAGAUCUGUCAUUGAUGAAUGUUCUCUAUUGCUUUUAGCAAUACUGACAAAAGGGGUAUGAUCUGAGUGGU
rnacentral:snoRNA from 1 species